GCCUGGGUGGCUCAGUCGGUUGAGCGUCUGACUUCGGCUCAGGUCACGAUCUCGCGGUCCGUGAGUUCGAGCCCCGCGUCGGGCU
rfam:Felis catus isolate Cinnamon breed Abyssinian chromosome F2, whole genome shotgun sequence.